rnacentral:rRNA from 1 species
AUUGAACGCUGGCGGAACGCUUUACACAUGCAAGUCGAACGGCAGCACGGACUUCGGUCUGGUGGCGAGUGGCGAACGGGUGAGUAAUGUAUCGGAACGUGCCCAGUCGUGGGGGAUAACGUAGUGAAAAUUACGCUAAUACCGCAUACGAUCUAUGGAUGAAAGCGGGGGAUCGCAAGACCUCGCGCGAUUGGAGCGGCCGAUAUCAGAUUAGGUAGUUGGUGGGGUAAAGGCCCACCAAGCCAACGAUCUGUAGCUGGUCUGAGAGGACGACCAGCCACACUGGAACUGAGACACGGUCCAGACUCCUACGGGAGGCAGCAGUGGGGAAUUUUGGACAAUGGGCGAAAGCCUGAUCCAGCCAUUCCGCGUGCAGGAUGAAGGCCCUCGGGUUGUAAACUGCUUUUGUACAGAACGAAAAGGUUUCUACUAAUACUAGGAGCUCAUGACGGUACUGUAAGAAUAAGUACCGGCUAACUACGUGCCAGCCGCCGCGGUAA